rnacentral:lncRNA from 1 species
CCAAAUAUGUCGACAUCUACAACAGGUACCCAAAAAUCUUCUCUCUAUUGAUCGUAACUAUGUUUUUGGGCCGCUUCUCAAUUUUCACGCACGGCUGUUGUUGAUAACCAUUUGUUUAGCUUUUCCAUAGGAGAGUUGCUCAUCUGCCAGUAGUUUGCCAAACCCCCAAAAUACCCCUUAUGUAGAUUCAGACUCACUAAAUUACCAGAUUCACGUAUCCGAUAACUUAUUAAGUUACCGGUUUCCAAAAUCCAAUAGGUACUACCUACAUAUAGAGUAAAAUGUCAGUUUUUCCUCAUUCAUUCUAUUUUUCCAAAUCUAAAACUCUAUAAACUUAACAUUUCUCACAAAUCCAGCUCAAUCUCAUAUUCUUACCUAAAAUCCACACUUAAAUAUCACUUUUUUUAUUCAUCAACUUUUAAACAUCAAGGUAAGUUUUUUCUUUUUAUAUUUUUUAUUUUAGUGUAUAAGUUUAUGUUUUUUAUUUUUUAUUUUUAAUUUAGUGAUUAUGUUUUUAUAUUUUUUAUUUUAGUGUUUAUGUUUAUAUUUCAAUAGGUAGUUAGAGAUGAAUGUUGAUGUUGAUGUUGUUAUUGCUAGUCAAUUGGUUGUUGUUGUUAGUUUACAAUUGAAUUUAUGUAUUCUAAGUUGUUAUAGUUGUUGUAUGUCAAGUGUUUGAUAAUUUUUAUUUUUAUUUUUAUUUUUAAUGAAUUUGUAGUGAGAUAUAAAUAGUUUAUAUUGUUGUUGUAGUAUAAAAAAACUAUUGUUAGUGAUCAAUAGUGAUUUUGUUGGUAUGUCAAUUCAUUGUUGAAAUUUGAAUUGUCAAAAUGUGACAAAGUGUUAAUUUUUUACUUUCAGAGAUGGAAGAUGACAAUGAUAUUACUCGAUUUUGACAUUGUAGAUAGGGGUGGAAAUGGGUCGGAUACGGUCGGAUUCGGGUCAAAAAACCAAAACCCGAUUGAAUCCUCGGGUGGUAUCAAUGGGCCCAAUCUCGUCCGUUUUUUAUUUUGGGCCAGUCGAGUUCGGGCCACUGGGUG